AAAGAAAGAAAUAGGACAGACAAUGGUCACAGCUUAUGCUUUGGGCACUCUAUUUGCAUUAAUAUUUUUGAAGAUGAGACUAGGGAUCCCAGUUGAUAGGAGAAUCCAUAUUUCCCAAGCAACCUAGGACCCAAAAUGAGUCCCAAGGGAUUCUCUCAACCUAGAGGGCAGGAGAAACCAGGAGGAAGGAAGCUGGAUUUUCUUAAGUUUCUAUAGAGCAAAUCCGUGGAGAUUUCUCUGCCCUGUCAAUAUGCCUGCAGCUGUCCCAGACCUUUCCAGGGCUCAGACAUAGAUGCCAGCACUUCUCUUAUGAAAUGUCCAAAGAAGAGAGGAUGAAAUGAAAAAUUUCAUGUUAUUUCAGUAGCAUAACACGCCCAGACAUUUUCAUACAGUGAGUCUAAAACUCAAGACCACUAUGGAUAUACUCAUCUGACAAAUGAUAUUUGCCUGCUGCUGUUAUGGACUGAAUUGUGUUGCCACCAAAAAUUAUAAUGUUGAAAUUCUAACCUUCCUACUCAGAAUGUGUCUGUAUUUGGAGAUAGGAUCUUUAAAGAGAUAAUUAAGUUAAAAUGAGGUCAUUAGGUGGACCCUAAUCCAAGAUGACUAAUGUCCUUAUAAGAAGAGGAAAUUUGGGGGCCGGCCCUGUGGUGAAGUGGUUAAGUUCGCAGGCUCCGCUUCUGGUUCAGAUCCUGGGCACAGAUGUGGUGCCACUCAUCAGGCCAUGCUGAGGCGGCGACCCACAUAGCACAACCAGAGGCACUCACAACUAGAAUAUACAACUACGUACUGGGGAGCUUUGGGGAGCAGAAGAAAAAGAAAAAGAAGAUUGGCAACAGAUGUUAGCUCAGGUGCCAAUCUUUAAAAAAAAAAACAAGAAGAAAUUUGGACACAGACACACAAAAAGGGAAGACCAUGUGAGGACACAGGGAGAAGACAGCCAUCUACAAGCCAAGGAGAGAGGCCUCAGAAGACAAUAAUUUGGCUGACACCCUGGUCUCGGACUCCUAGCCUCCAGAAAUGUGAGUAAAUAAAUUUCUGUUGUUA
rnacentral:lncRNA from 1 species